GUUAUUUGUUUAACAUUUAUGAGUGAUAGUUUGUUUUGUACUUCAUUGUUGUUUUGUUUUACUUUAAUAUACUUAUAACUAGGAAUACAAGCUGAAGUUAAUCAAGCUGUUUUGUGUCCAAAUUAAAAUUAUUUCAUACAUUUUGUAUGCACUAAUAUUUACAUUAUUAUGUACAUUAUUUUCAUUGUUUUCAUAAUACAUAACAACUAUUUCUAAUUUCCUGUUUUUGAUUUUGCUUUUUGUUUUUCUUUUAGUUAUUUGUUUAUUUUGAUUUUGACAGUUUAUUUUGUUAAACAUUGAUUAUAUACAAGUCUGGGUUAGUUAUUUAAUAUAAUAUACUUAAUAUUUUCAGAAUGGAUCUUUUAUUUACCGCGCCACAUCCUGAUAACCACCCGGACUAGCACCAACCUCAUCAUUCACUUUAAAGUGUAAGAUGUGAAGAUGUCCCUCCAGUAACUGGCUAGUAAGGAUGCGGCGCGAUUAAUAUAUAACAAUAUUGACUCUAGUUACCCACGGUUCUGUCCUUGGACAGUUCUUCUAUAGAAUGAUGGUAGAGCGCACUCCAAACCAUUAGCAUUGUUUUCAAAGAUGAUUCCCAUUGGGGACAGACCAGCUCAUUCUUUCUAUGAAUUUUUUCAUGAGCGUAAAUGCAUAGGACAUCAGAGGGGUUACUUUAGAUUCAUUAUAAACAUAUUGAUUUGAA